rnacentral:rRNA from 1 species
CAGUAGCCGCGGUAAUACGUAGGGUGCAAGCGUUAAUCGGAAUUACUGGGCGUAAAGCGUGCGCAGGCGGUUAUAUAAGACAGAUGUGAAAUCCCCAGGCUCAACCUGGGAACUGCAUUUGUGACUGUAUAGCUAGAGUACGGCAGAGGGGGAUGGAAUUCCGCGUGUAGCAGUGAAAUGCGUAGAUAUGCGGAGGAACACCGAUGGCGAAGGCAAUCCCCUGGGCCUGUACUGACGCUCAUGCACGAAAGCGUGGGGAGCAAACAGGAUUAGAUACCCGAGUAGUCCCUGUCUCUUAUAU